GGUAGACGGGAGGUCCACAAUAGUAGGUGUUGGUAGACGGGAGGUCCACAAUAGUAGGUUUUGGUAGACGGAAGGUGCUCUUUGGUAAAAGGAGUAAAUUGAUCAUCAGAAAUAAAGGAGGACUAGGGCACUAUUCAUAUAAUGAAUUAAAAUGCCUUUAUUUGUAUGACAUGUUCAAUGGAAACUAAGUUGUUUUUUUUUACUGAUGCGUUUCGGCUGCAUGGCCUUCGUCAGGGAGUACUCAAAAGCAUUCCGAUAAAUUAUAUGAAAAGUGCCUUGGUCCUCCUUUUUGAUGUCUAUUGAGGACUUAUUCUUUAUAGAAGUCCAUACCUUGUAAACUAGCUCUAGCCAUCAGAUCCCCGUGUGUACAGCAGGAUACAGAGAUGGAACUCUCAACCUCAACGGACACAAAAGAAGGAGCCAGGAGGACAAGGUCAUUGAUUCAGCUCCCCGACGGAGGAAGAUGUCAGACGUAUUGGACAAUUACAGUGAUUCUGAUGAAGAGGAGACUAAGAUUGGUCGAUGGAGAGACAUUCAGUUCCAGGAUCUAGAGACGGCAUCAGUGAAACUGGAAGACAAAAGUCAAACAUUAAAAAGACGAGGCAAAGAUUGGAAGAUUUUAUCAUUGUACAGAAGUUUGUUUUGCUUGUG